rnacentral:rRNA from 1 species
GACAGAGGGUGCAACCGUUGUUCGGAUUUACUGGGCGUAAAGCGUGUGUAGGCGGCUUUGCAAGUCGGAUGUGAAAUCCCACGGCUCAACCGUGGAAGUGCAUCCGAAACGGCAUCGCUUGAGUCCCGGAGAGGAAGGUGGAAUGCUUGGUGUAGAGGUGAAAUUCGUAGAUAUCAAGCAGAACACCUGCGGCGAAGGCGGCCUUCUGGACGGUGACUGACGCUGAGACACGAAAGCGUGGGGAGCAAACAGG